rnacentral:lncRNA from 1 species
CUGGCUCUAACAAAGAGGAGGCUUACCUGCUUUCUGUGCCUACAGAAGACCAGACCAGCAAUUGACUCAUUUUAUUCUUCCUGCUGGGAAAGCCUCAUCUUUUUACUUCAAACCACCUAAAUCUCAUGCAUCUUUCAAGACUCAGGUAAGCCAUCCUUUCAGUUUAAAAUUGAUUGACUCCCUAUUUUGCAUAAAAUACUGUUCUCAGUGUCAGUAAUAUAAAAUAGUGAUACGCGCGUAAUGUCUGCCCUCAAUGAGCUUAGAGUUUAAUGAGGAGAGAGCCAAGUUAACCAACAAAUAUGUGAGCAUUGAGACUUUGAAUCACAAAACUCAUAAAGGGAACACAUUGGAAGAGCACCUCAGCAAGUCAUUAACUACUCCAGCCAUCACUGCUCUUUUCAAUCUUGUGACAUCUACAUAACCUUUUCUUGCACCACACAAUUUAGCACUUAAUUAAUAUUCUCUUGUGUUUUUCAAUGUUGUUUCAGAAGUUGAAGGUGGAGAAACUGUUAUUCAAUAGAUUCCUCCUAGGGAAAAAAACUGAAUUUCUUUCAUAGAAAGGUUUUGGUAAGCAAUUUGGGUUAGGGGCUGAAAUUUGAUGGCAUGCAUGUCUAGCUGAAUUGCUACGAAUGAGAAAAUAAGAAUUCAUAUUGUUCCUGAAAAAUAAAGAGGUGGGGGGAAGGAGAAAGAAAAGACAGAGACAACAGAGGAAGCAAUUAGAGACAGUGGGAAUUCAUCCUGUUUGUGAUAUGAACCCUCACUAUCACUCCUGAAUCUUCAGCAAUGUAGUCAAACUACCGAAAUUCAUGAUGCAGUUGUAAGUAGGUGCUGUGUGCAAUUGUGUGUGUGUGUUGAGAGAGAGAGAGAGGGAAAGAGAUAUUCUUUGUCUCUGACAUGGGUCAAAACAGAGAUAACACUGGUAAAUGGAGUCCUCUGUCAACCAUGCGUUAACUAGGCGAUAAGCUUCCUUAAGUCAGGGACUGCGAUUCAUUUUUCUCUGCAUAAUGUGGAGCAAAGAAGCCAUCUAAUUUUUUUGAACAAGUCCUGUAAUUUCUGAAAAAUCAAAAUUAAUGGUUGGGGCUGUAGUGGAUGUGGCAGAAGGUACCAGGGACAGAAGGGGACGACCUCCCUGGAAGUGAAUGCACAUCUAUUAAGUAACCAGCCAGCUAUGAAUGUUGCUUCUCGCUGAGGAUUUCCGUAGAAUCAGCAGCACAGCUUUUCUGCCUUUCUGAUGGUCUGAAUGACGUUCGCCUCCAGACCUGCUGCAUGUGAUUAAACAACGUGAAUAACAGCAUGCCCCAGGAGAACAGUGUGCGGUCGUCUGUGCCACAGGGUUGGAGGGAUUGGCUCUGUGCUGCCUGUCAAAAUGCAUAACCUUAUGGGCCAGAAAGGCCACAGCCAUUUCCUGUGUGGAUACAGCAAAGUUACUGAAUGAAUUCUUGACCUGAAAUUGUCCUUGGUCAAUAUACACCAGGGGGAAAACAAAUCCUGUGCUAUAAUGGGACUGACUUCCAACGGUUUUGGGCUUGGAGGAGAAAUGGUUGAUCAACUGACAAAAUUGUAAUGCAAAAGAAGCCACUGUGCUACUCAUCAUAUUAACACUCACUGAUAAUAGCUUUAUAAUUGUAUUCCAAACGCUCUCCAAACUGCAAUAUUUUUUUUGCAGUUGGGGCUUUCCACGACACUUCUUGUUGAACCCCACGGGAAGCCAACUCCCUUAUGUUGCCCAAUGUCUUUGUCAAACACAUUUAAUUCAAGCCUCAAUUGUGGUGGAAUUUCACCGGUCUGGUUUCAGACCCUCUCAGAACUAUAGAUUUCAUGGUCAUUUACAGAUUUUGGAAUUAGAGCCUCUGAAGCCUCCCACCUGAUAUCUGCAUUUGUAAUUCAUCAGAAGUGAUUUUUAUGAGCAGUUAGUCUCUGGAGCCUUAUUGGAAGCAGAUAGGAUGGUCCCUACCACCCCAAGUUAUUGAAUUCAAAAGUCGAGGACAGGGCCUGAAAAUCUCCACUUGUAACAGAGAUUUCUGGCGACUCUAUAAACCAUCCUUGACAUUAACCAAGUGAAAGACAUAAAACAUACCAAAUCAUCCCUAUCUGUUUUACGCAGCAACUACUAAAUGGCUUAACAUUUUCAUUGAUGUUAUUAGUUGUUUUGACACUCAUUGGACAGAACCUCAGAGUCUCAGUUUCACACAGAGACAGUGAAAACCAAACAGAAAAUAAGAGGGAAAUUAAACUUAUUGUAAAACUGACUGUUCUAUAAUGUCAUCAGGGGAACUAGAAGAAUAUUUGCAAGCAAUAAGAAACAUAAAAUGAGAGGAAUUAAGAAAUUAACCAGGAUAUUAUUUUCUAUACUUUAAUAAGAAAAAUUCAGUUAUAGCACUCUAAAUAAAAUGGUCAUUAAGGACUUCCUUCUUCCAGAAAAUAACAAAUCUUUCUCAGAAGACAAAUCUUUCUAGCUCCCAGCUCACUGAAGAUUUGGAGAAUAGCCAAGAAACUAUCUCUGAAGCUAUGAAAUGUACACAGCACCCUCUAUAGGAUCUCAUGUUUUGGGGCAUGACUAUUGAAGAGCUCUUAUUCUAAGGAAGGUUCAAGAAUACCACUGACAGACUAGAAAAGUCUGUCAAAUAUCAUUAGAAAAGAUGAUGAAUAUGAAUUAGGCAUUUAAGAGAAAGAGAUAAAAAGUUUUUCAAAAUUCUUAGGGCCGGCCUGGUGGCACAGUGGUUAAGUUCACGUGUUCCACUUGGGCGGUCUGGGGUUUGCCAGUUCGGAUCCCAGGUGCAGACAUGGCACUGCUUGGCACGCCAUGCUGUGGUAGGCGUCCCACGUAUAAAGUAGAGGAAGAUGGGCAUGGAUGUUAGCUCAGGGCCAGUCUUCCUCAGCAAAAAGAGGAGGACUGGCGGCAGAUGUUAGCUCGGGGCUAAUCUUCCUCAAAAAAAAUGUGAGAAAAUUCUUUACAGAGUCUGGAAUUCUAUAAUUGAAAAAGAUUCAGUAGUUUCCAUGAGAGAAAGACGUCUACUGUGAGAAAGUAGAAAUAGACAUAUAUAUUUAUUUAAAUCUACUUCCUGGUAGUGAGACUUGAGCAUGGGUUUGGGGGGAGCUGACUUUUAUGUCUGUGCUGUUACUGUAUGGUGAACAACCGUCUCGGUUUGCCUGGGACUGAGGGGUUUUCUGGGACAGCGAGCAAUCGGCACUACAACAGGUCAAGCCCCAGGCAAACUGGGCAGUUGCUCACCUAGUUAGUUGCCUCCAUGACCUCCACCCACUCCCGGAUGGAGAGUGACUCACCUAGCCCCGGCUCCCUCACCACAGCGAUUGGUUCAGGCAGGAACUUACCCUAAGUAGGUUUGACAUCUGUGAAGCCAAGGACUUGUGCUUGAGAGCUUGAGGAAGAGAAGCCCUCCCUUUCAGGGUGGUCUUGUGUUCAUAUAAAUAUGAACCAGAGCUGCUACGGCUAUUUUUACUACAAUGAAGCAAGCAAAGCUCAAGAGGAAAUUGACACAUGGAAGAGGGUAGAGUUCUAAAAAUAAGGGAGAGGAACUGGAUUCUUGAUGACAGUGGGCCCUCUCUAGCAAACAUUGUCUAAAACCUACCACACCCAGGACUAUUUAUAUAGUAGAUUCUUGAUCGUCACGGGCUGGGAGAGGGGUAAUGGGUAGUGACUGAUAAUGGGUACAGACUUUUGGUUUGGUUUUUCGAGGUGAUAAAAAUGUUCUGGAAUUGGAUGAGGUGAUGGGUGUACAACCUUGUGAAUAUACUAGAAACUACUGAAAUGUACACUUUAAAAGAGUGAUUUUUAUGGUAUAUGAAUUGUGUCUCAAUUUAAAAAAACCAUUUGUGGUUAUUUAGCAUGUUUUCACUUAGCAUGUUUCAUUAGGUGGAUGCAUCACCCACUUGGAAUACUGCUAACCCAUGAAACCCCAUGAAUCAAAGGACAGAAUUAGGAACAGAGAGGGAAAUAAAAGUUUGUGUAGAAAGAUGUCAAUUUCUUUCAUGAAGUAUACAGGUAUACAAAAUUUGAUAAUAAAACAAUGACUACCUAGAUACCACCUACCACCAAGUUUCAGAAAUAAAACUUACUUCCAUGUAGCUAUACGUUUUUACCUUCCUAUUUUCUCCUUAGUAAUAACCAUUGUCCUGUAUUUGGUGCUGUUCAAACAUAUUUGUCUGAAAAUAACAUGGAAUAUUGUUUAGUUCCAGCCAUUAGUUUUGAUGGAUUCUACGUCAACAUAAACCCCUCCCACCCUUUUGUCUUUCUCCUUGAUCCCAUCCCCCUUACAUUCCUCCUUCUUUUCUUCACCUUACUUUAAGCUCAGGUGGGUUUUCUAACCUAGGGUAGGAGUAUGAUAAGGGCAAUUUCUGGGAGACAGAGAGAGCUCAUUCUCUUGCCUCUUCCUGUCUACUCCAUGCAGGGAGAUCUCUGCAGCAGGCACUCUGCCUAGAAGCCAACCCUGAGUUGUGUAGGCAUGAAAAUUUUCACCUGCAAUAGCAAGAGGAAAAUAUCUAUGGCAAACACAAGACUUCACAUUUAAUAGCUCCUUUAGAUAAAAUCUGCUUUCAAAAUUUUUAUUAGGUGCAAAGGAAACGGGUUUGUUUGAAAACCAAUCUCCUGGAAUAAAUACUUGUGCAUUAUGACUAUUAACUGUUAACAUUAAUAAAUAUUAAUAUAUUCUAUAUAAUGCAUGCAUAUAUGCAAUAUUAUAUAAUGAAUAAUUAUCAGUUAUUUUGGUAAUAAAUAAUAUACAAUUAUAUAUACCGUGCAUGCUAUAUUAACAAAUAUUAAUAUUAAGAACUAUUAAUAUUAACCUUAACAAUGGGGUAAG